rfam:Felis catus isolate Cinnamon breed Abyssinian chromosome X, whole genome shotgun sequence.
GCCUGGGUGGCUCAGUCGGUUGAGCGUCCGACUUCAGCUCAGGUCAUGAUUUCGCAGUUUGUGGGUUCAAGCCCCACAUCGGGCU